rnacentral:rRNA from 1 species
AGAGUUUGAUCCUGGCUCAGGGUGAACGCUGGCGGCGCGCUUAAUGCAUGCAAGUCGAGCGUACCUCGACGGUUUCGACUGUUGAGGGAAGCGGCAGACGGCUGAGUAACGCGUGAGUAACCUGCCCUCCGGUGGGGUAUAGCCUCGAGAAAUUGGGGAUAAUCCCGCAUACGAUCCUCAUUCCUUGGUUUGAGGAUGAAAGCCUUCGGGUGCCGGGGGAGGGGCUCGCGUCCUAUCAGGUAGUUGGUGAGGUAACGGCUCACCAAGCCGAUGACGGGUAGCUGGUCUGAGAGGACGACCAGCCAGAGGGGGACUGAGACACGGCCCCCACUCCUACGGGAGGCAGCAGCAGGGAAUUUUGGGCAAUGGGCGAAAGCCUGACCCAGCGACGUCGCGUGGGGGAUGAAGGCCUUAGGGCUGUAAACCCCUUUUCCAGGGGAAGAGGAAGGACGGUACCUUGGGAAUAAGCUCCGGCUAACUACGUGCCAGCAGCCGCGGUAAUACGUAGGGAGCUAGCGUUACCCGGAAUUACUGGGCGUAAAGAGCGCGUAGGCGGCUGGAUAAGUCUCUUGUGAAAGCUCCCGGCUUAACUGGGAGAGGUCAAGGGAUACUGUUCGGCUCGAGGGCAGUAGAGGAAGGCGGAAUUCCCGGUGUAGCGGUGAAAUGCGUAGAUAUCGGGAGGAACACCAGUGGCGAAAGCGGCCUUCUGGGCUGUGCCUGACGCUGAGGCGCGAGAGCGUGGGGAGCAAACUGGAUUAGAUACCCAGGUAGUUCACGCCCUAAACGAUGGAUGCUAGGUAUUGGGGGUAUCGACCCCCCCUGUGCCGCAGCUAACGCGAUAAGCAUCCCGCCUGGGGACUACGGCCGCAAGGCUAAAACUCAAAUGAAUUGACGGGGGCCCGCACAAGCGGUGGAGCGUGUGGUUUAAUUCGAUGCUAAGCGAAGAACCUUACCUGGGCUUGACAUGUUUGUGGUAGGAACCCGAAAGGGUGACGACCCCGGGGUAACUCGGGGAGCUUUCACAGGUGCUGCAUGGUUGUCGUCAGCUCGUGCCGUGAGGUGUUGGGUUAAGUCCCGCAACGAGCGCAACCCUUGUCCUAUGUUGCCAGCACGUCAUGGUGGGGACUCAUAGGAGACCGCCGAGGACAACUCGGAGGAAGGUGGGGACGACGUCAAAUCAUCAUGCCCCUUAUGUUCAGGGCUGCACGCAUGCUACAAUGGUCGGUACAACGGGUCGCGAUCUCGCGAGAGUGAGCCAAUCCCCCAAAGCCGGCCUCAGUUCGGAUUGGAGUCUGCAACUCGACUCCAUGAAGUCGGAGUCGCUAGUAAUCGCAAAUCAGCAAAGUUGCGGUGAAUACGUUCUCGGGCUUUGUACACACCGCCCGUCACACCACGAAAGUAGGCAACGCCCGAAGUCAGUGGCCCAACUCUUUUGAGAGGGAGCUGCCGAAGGCGGGGUCUGUGAUUGGGGUGAAGUGGUAACAAGGUAACCAAGGGCAGC